UUGGUCGGUCUUGGGGGAUUGAUUGGCGCGCAGUCCAGGAGGGGUCCGGGAAAGAAGCCGCUGGCAGGGCAGCGUGGUACACCGGGUAGUCGCGAGCGGUCUGCGGCGGCAGAGACCCCACCAGCCAGGGGAGCAGCACGGCCUCGGGGGCCCCCAGCCGCCACCAACCCUCUGUUGCCGCCACCACCCGGCCGGACACCACCAGACUGACGAAGGCCGUGCCCGCGGCCUCAGCGAACCCGGAGAGGGCUUCCUGGGAGAACCAAGAGGCCGGGUUGAAGACGACGACUGCGCCAAGGCCUGCCUAUACGCCAUCCUGUAGGCUUUGAUGAUUUACAUUCUAAACGGAAAAAAACAGUGUGCCGCGAUCAAAGACUGCGACGAUCCCAAGGCGUUGCCUAGCAACCACAUUCCGUCUAGGUUUCCAUUUUGUAGCAGUAAACAGUGUGCCCUACUCAAAGAUGGCGGCACAUCGAAGUCCGACCACCCUCCUUCGGGCGAAAUCGAGAAAAACACCGUCUCCCCUCCCAACCUUCGAGGGUGGUUGAGUCCGGCGAGCGUUGCCUAGUAACCACCAAAAUAGACGGUUGUUUUUGUUAUUAGAAAAAAGAAAACAAGGAAAUCCUUUAUCUUCCAGAAUAAUAAAAAUAACAUUAUUUGUGCAGUGAAUUAUGCAUGGUAACAUACCAUAUACAAUGUGAAGAUAUCCCAGCCCCAAUUUUUUCCCUAAAAUACAGUUUAACGUAGAAUAUUGAUGUUUUCACAAAUAAUUAUUAGUAUAUUAACAUUUCCAUAUUUUCUUUUUUCCCAUAAAAAGCGUGUGUUUCAUCUUAAUAAUGUACUUUUAUAAUCUAUUUUAUGGUUAUAACAAAUUGAUUUGACCAAUUCUGUACUGAUGUACAUUAGGUUGUUGAACGCCUCCAGACUAAGCAGCUAGUGCUGGCCAACUAGUGACUUUUUAAGAUGCCCUUAUAAAUAUUUUUCUUAUGCUAUACAGGUAGUGUUUACUUGCAAUUAUAAAUGUGUUUAUGAUUCAUUUUGCCCUUCUUCUUCCUUCUUGCAAAUCAAUCUAUCUUUCUAGCAUAAUUUUUAAUUUUCCUACUUCC